CAACCCUCAAGCUCUGCUUGGUAUUGGGCGCCGCCGGUCCCGGCGCGCCUUAAAAUCAGUGGCGGCGCCACCUGGCUUCAAGCGUAGUAGCACAUCUCGCUUCCGGAGCCCUGGUGCGUGCUUGCCAGCAACCCCAACUCACCAAA
rnacentral:misc_RNA from 1 species